AAGGGAGGUAAGGAGGAAGGUCAAAGCUCGUGGAGGAUUUAAAUAACCUGCUUGAGUUGCCAUGAAAGGACGCUCUCGCAAACCUCCAGCUGACUGCCUCUGCCCAUCUGACCUGACCUUCCCGCCUGGUUCUACGGUUAUGAAGAUACGGUAAUUAUGUCUGGUUAAGGUGUGCCGCCCGCCGCCCCGCGUACUGUGUGGUGUCGGCCCCCUCUGCCCGGCCGAUGACCCGAGCCUCGCUUCGCUCCGUAAGAACCUGUAUCCAGAUGAUUUAAGUUAGAUGUUUCGUCCGUAGUGCGUCCAGUUCUGCCGCGUCAUGUUCCGGUCCAAGGCGAGUCACUCAUUCUAGUUCUGUCGUGUCAACUUCCGUUCCAGCCGAAUCACCUCUCUUCUACCGACGUCAUCAUAUCACCUCUUUGUCAUGUUAAUAGACGCUCCCCCGUAAGACUCAGGGAUUGAUAAGGUUGUUGAUUCUCGAGCUGCUCAUGUCUAUAUAAAAUAACUUUUGAUUUUUUUUUUUAUUAUUUUCUGUGGAGACGUGUUCUUGAUCUGCGGACGGUCUUUGAGGUAUUGUAAACGUGGACUUGCGAAUGUGACUUGUUUAUUUAUUUUUUUUUUUGUCCGGUUCGAAAUAAAUAUGUAAU